UACAGAGGUGGCAAGCGUUGUUCGGAAUUACUGGGCGUAAAGGGCGCGUAGGCGGCCUUCUAAGUCAGACGUGAAAUCCCUCGGCUUAACCGGGGAACUGCGUCUGAUACUGGAUGGCUUGAGAUUGGGAGAGGGAUGCGGAAUUCCAGGUGUAGCGGUGAAAUGCGUAGAUAUCUGGAGGAAUACCGGUGGCGAAGGCGGCAUCCUGGACCGACAUUUGACGCUGAGGAGCGAAAAGCUAGGGGGAGCAAACGGGG
rnacentral:rRNA from 1 species